ACCUGGGUGACUCAAUUGGUUGAGUGUCUGACUCUUGAUUUUGGCUCACAUCAUGAUCUCAUGGUUUGUGGGAUCGCACCCCACCUCAGGUU
rnacentral:tRNA from 1 species